CUCUCCCCGGUAAAGUCUCGCGGUGCUGCCGGGCUCAGCCCCGUCUCCUCCUCUUGCUCCCUCGGCCGGGCGGCGGUGACUGUGCACCGACGUCGGCGCGGGCUGCACCGCCGCGUCCGCCCGCCCGCCAGCAUGGCCACCACCGCCACCUGCACCCGCUUCACCGACGACUAUCAGCUCUUCGAGGAGCUCGGCAAGGGUGCUUUCUCUGUGGUCCGCAGGUGUGUGAAGAAAACGUCCACGCAAGAGUAUGCAGCAAAAAUCAUCAAUACCAAGAAGUUAUCUGCUCGGGAUCACCAGAAACUAGAACGUGAGGCCCGGAUAUGCCGACUUUUGAAACAUCCAAACAUCGUACGCCUCCAUGACAGUAUUUCUGAAGAAGGGUUUCACUACCUCGUGUUUGACCUUGUUACCGGCGGAGAGCUGUUUGAAGACAUUGUGGCCAGGGAAUACUACAGUGAAGCCGAUGCCAGCCACUGUAUACAUCAGAUUCUGGAGAGUGUUAACCACAUCCACCAGCAUGACAUCGUCCACCGGGACCUGAAGCCUGAGAACCUGCUGCUGGCGAGUAAAUGCAAGGGUGCUGCUGUCAAGCUGGCUGAUUUUGGCCUAGCCAUCGAAGUACAGGGAGAGCAACAGGCUUGGUUUGGUUUUGCUGGCACCCCAGGUUACUUGUCCCCUGAGGUCUUGAGGAAAGAUCCCUAUGGAAAACCUGUGGAUAUCUGGGCCUGCGGGGUCAUCCUGUAUAUCCUCCUGGUGGGCUACCCUCCUUUCUGGGAUGAGGAUCAGCACAAGCUGUAUCAGCAGAUCAAGGCUGGAGCCUAUGAUUUCCCAUCACCAGAGUGGGACACAGUGACUCCAGAAGCCAAGAACUUGAUCAACCAGAUGCUGACCAUAAAUCCUGCAAAGCGUAUUACAGCUGACCAGGCUCUCAAGCACCCAUGGGUCUGCCAACGGUCCACAGUGGCAUCUAUGAUGCAUCGUCAAGAGACAGUGGAGUGCCUACGCAAGUUCAAUGCCCGGAGAAAACUGAAGGGUGCCAUCCUCACAACCAUGCUUGUCUCCAGGAACUUUUCAGUUGGCAGGCAGAGCUCCGCCCCCGCCUCGCCUGCCGCGAGCGCCGCCGGCCUGGCCGGGCAAGCUGCCAAAAGCCUAUUGAACAAGAAGUCGGACGGCGGUGUCAAGAAAAGGAAGUCGAGUUCCAGCGUGCACCUAAUGCCACAGAGCAACAACAAAAACAGUCUCGUAAGCCCAGCCCAAGAGCCCGCGCCCUUGCAGACGGCCAUGGAGCCACAAACCACCGUGGUACACAACGCUACCGAUGGGAUCAAGGGCUCGACAGAGAGCUGCAACACCACCACAGAAGAUGAGGACCUCAAAGCUGCCCCGCUCCGCACUGGGAAUGGCAGCUCGAUGCCUGAAGGACGGAGCUCCCGGGACAGGACAGCCCCCUCUGCAGGCAUGCAGCCCCAGCCUUCUCUCUGCUCCUCAGCCAUGCGGAAACAAGAGAUCAUUAAGAUCACAGAACAACUGAUUGAGGCCAUCAACAAUGGGGACUUUGAGGCCUACACGAAGAUUUGUGAUCCAGGCCUCACUUCCUUUGAGCCUGAGGCCCUGGGUAACCUCGUGGAAGGGAUGGAUUUCCAUAAGUUUUACUUUGAGAAUCGUGAGUGGUCCUGUCCAAGAACAGCAAGCCCAUCCACACCACCAUCCUGAACCCACACGUCCACGUGAUCGGAGAGGACGCGGCUUGCAUUGCCUACAUCCGCCUCACCCAGUACAUCGAUGGGCAGGGUCGGCCUCGCACCAGCCAGUCGGAGGAGACCCGGGUCUGGCAUCGCCGGGAUGGCAAGUGGCUCAAUGUCCACUAUCACUGCUCAGGGGCCCCUGCCGCACCGCUGCAGUGAGCUCAGCCACAGGGGCAUGAGGAGAUCCCAGCCGGAGGUCAAACCUUCGCAGCCAGUGGCUCUGGAGGGCCUGAGUGACAGCGGCAGUCCUGUUCGUUUGAGGUUUAAAACAAUUAAAUUACAAAGCGGCAGCAGCCAAUGCACGCCCCUGCAUGCAGCCCUCCCGCCCGCCCUUCGUGUCUGUCUCUGCUGUACCGAGGUGUUUUUUACAUUUAAGGGGGAAAAAAAGAAAAAAAAAGAUUGUUAAAAAAAAAGUGGGAUCCAUACCAUGAUGUGUUUUAAAACCAUCGGCAGCCCUUGGGCUGGCAAGAAGGCAGGAGUCUGUGUGAUGCCCAUCCUGGCACAAGCAGUGGGCUCACCCACCAGCCCUGAAGAGGUGAGCUCGGCCUCUGGCCUCCAUGGACUCGGGACCAGGCAAGAACUCUGACAGAGCUCUGGGGGCUGUGUGAUGUGACUGCAGCCUCUGAGAUGGCCUGCCUGCCCCAGGUCUCGGAAUGGACUUCUUCAGAAUUUGUAUACGCGCCUAGAACGAGGCUUAUGAGAACACCAUGGCCAACAGACCUACUUGGGAGAGAAUGCAGAGCUCCCAGCCUGCUGUGGAGGCAGCUGAGAAGCAGUGGCCUCAGGACUGAGAAGCAGGGCCCGGACGUUGCUGUACUCUACCAUUUAGCGUAGAAGGGAAGAGAAUUGGUGCUGCAGAAGCGUGUCUGCUCCGAAGCUGAUGAGAAACCUCGUGUUAGUCUGACAUGCACUCACUUACUCAUCCGUUUCUAUAGGAUGCACAAUGCACGUGGGCUCUGAUCUUGAGGCCCAAUCCUAGCAGCUGGGAAGUGGGAGGGGUUGCCGCUUUGCUUUGUGUUUGUUUUCUUAUAACUUAGCAAGGAGAGAGCCAGGCCUUGGUCUGGGCUCCCCCUGCCGCCUUUGGCAGUUCUGUUUCCGUGCUGACUUGGACCAUCUUUGUCUUGCCUUCUCUUGGUGGUGGUCCCUGUGCUGACUCUCAUCUGGGCCUGGGCCCUCUGCCAAGUGCUCCUGUGGGAUGGGAGGAGUGAGGCAGCGGGACUGAGUUGAUGGUUUCUAUGCAUUCAGGCUGCCCUCAGGGCUGCCUCCCUUCUUACUGUUCCCUUGCUGCACGCCAAUCUCUUUUCCUGUCUUUGAGACUGACUUGGCUACUCUGGCAAGAAGAGGUAUCCUCUAUAAAGAGACUUCUUUACUGACCAACUGAAGUUUAGACUUACUGCUGGACAAUCUGCAUGGGCAUCACCCCCGUCUCACCUGCAUGUACCCAAAAGAGACGUCCAGAGCCAAGGCUCCUACCUUCGUUGUCCCUCUCUGUGCUCAAGGAGUUCCAUUCCAGGAGGGAAGAAUGUAUACUCUAAGCAGAUAGCAGAGAUGAUAAUGGAGGAGCAAUUGGUCAUGGCUUUGGUUUCCCCCCAAACAACUGUGCAGGUCUGUCUGCACAAAUGUCUGCACUAUUGGGGGAGAGAUGGGUUAGACCCCAGCUCCCUGGACUGCCUUAAGGAGGCACAGGAGCUGGGAGAAGAGGCAAAGCUACAGGUUUACCUUGGAGCCAGCUGAGAAGAGAGCAGACUCACAGGUGCUGGUGCUUGGAUUUAGCCAGGCUCCUCCGAGCACCUCCUGCAUGCCCCAGCCCCCGGGUCCCCGCCGUCUCCCGCCCAGCAGCCUGCAGUACCAGCACGCAGACACCUUCACCACAGGGUUUGGUUUUGCUGGCUUGAAGACAAAUGGUCUUAGAGUUCAUUAAGACCCAUAGCUUCAUAUGGCUGCUCCAGCCCCACUUCUUAGCAUUCUUACUCCUCUUCUGGGGCUAAUGUCAGCAUCUAUAGACAAUAGACUUAAAAACAACAACAACAACACCUUUUAAACAGGAAAUGGAAGGCAUUUGAUGCAGAAUUUUUGCAUGAUGACAUAGAAAUAAUUUAAAAAUAGUGUUUGUUCUGAAUGUUGGUAGACCCUUCAUAGCUUUGUUACAAUGAAACCUUGAACUGAAGAUAUUUAAUAAAAUAACCUUUAAACAGUC